rnacentral:rRNA from 1 species
CCUACGGGAGGCAGCAGUGAGGAAUAUUGGUCAAUGGGCGGGAGCCUGAACCAGCCAAGUCGCGUGAGGGAAGACGGUCCUAUGGAUUGUAAACCUCUUUAGGCGGGGAGCAAUGCCGGGCACGCGUGCCCGGAGGGAGAGUACCCGCAGAAUAAGCAUCGGCUAACUCCGUGCCAGCAGCCGCGGUAAUACGGAGGAUGCGAGCGUUAUCCGGAUUGAUUGGGUUUAAAGGGUGCGUAGGCGGAUUUUUAAGUCAGCGGUAAAAUGUCCGGGCUCAACCCGGGCCGGCCGUUGAAAGUGGGGAUCUUGAGUGGGCGAGAAGUAUGCGGAGGGCGUGGUGUAGCGGUGAAAUGCAUAGAUAUCACGCAGAACUCCGAUUGCGAAGGCAGCAUACCGGCGCCCGACUGACGCUGAGGCACGAAAGCGUGGGGAUCGAACAGGAUUAGAUACCCCAGUAGUC